CGUCGGUUUCUACCCGAUCAGAGCUUGUGAACGGAUGAAGAUCGUGUGCCAGUACAUGUAUCGGCAGCACUUGCUGAGCAUUGCCAAAAACCUAGAUUCUGAUUUCGUGCAGAAGCAGGUGAUCCGUAGUGUGUAAAUCGACCACUACCACUGUGCCACUGCACUGCCAGCCUCAAAGUAGUUGCUUACCCGCUCAAGACGCAGAGUGCAGCUUGCUCUCACUCAGCCCAGGUCUUUCAGCGUAGAUCGCGGAGCGUCACACUCUGGACUCGUGGUGUUUGCGACGGACUCGUCCUGCUGCGUACUCCUACAUACUGUGGCCAGCGUAGGCUUGUGUGCCGUGAUCGUGAGCUCAUAUCAGCCGCUUCCUUCUUGACUUGCUGUCAAGGUCUUCACCGAGCGAAGCAGGGCGCACGUCGGCAGAUACCCGCUCGGCGCUGGUCUGAUCUACCCGCACCGGUCGCGUUGUCGUGCCACGAGCACAACGGAGCAGCAAAGAGAAUGGCGCAGCGGCCAUUCCUCGACCCGCGCCCACCCGAGGGGGGCACAAAUUCUAUGCUUGGCAGCGCUUCAUGAAGCCCAGAGUCAAUGCAGGGGCUCUCACGGCUGUGAGCUCAGCAACCGGUGUACUGUACUGUGUACACCGCUAUUCCACACGUGCCAGCAGACUUGUAGCCCGCUUGACAUUCAAGACGGACGGCUGGAAACGUCUGUGGAUACGUAGGUUACCGGCCGGUGUAGAUUUCCAUCGCUCCGCCCGUAGAGUAUGGAACAUGCACCUACUGCAUAUUGCCAUUUGAACACUCGAUUGUACUGUAUUCUCCAGAAAACAAGCCGCACUGGAGUACAUAAGCCGUAACCAGAUUUUUUGGCACGAGAUAGUGACAUUUACUCCAUUUAUCACCGUUAAUUUGACCAUCAUAGUUUAAGCCGACUUUGUUUGGGUUAAUUGGUGGUGUUUAAAAAUAAAUAAAUUCGACGGGUUCGCGUACCGGGCAGGUCAAGAACAAGGAGUCGUACAACUCCCUGGUCAAGAACCACCUUUCCGCUUCCGUGGGACGCCACCUCCCCAUGGUCAGGCGUCAGAUGCGGCUCCUAAACGGUGGGGGAGGACAGAUCAGAUCCACCAACCAUAGGCCAAAGGCUCAAAUCCCAUUUUCCACAUCCAUGAUUUAAUCAUGCCAGGCCACGAGUUCCCAAUUAACUGUGGGUCGCAGCACAGUUGGAAUAAUCCUUCCGCUUCCAAGCAGGACUUGAACCUGGUACCUUUCGUUCCUCAAUCAUGGUCUUAGACCAACCCACUGUGCCUGCCUUUGGUGUUUCAAGUAAACUUUAAACUAGGGAUGAGUCGGGUAGCAUUUUCUUUGGGUAUCGGGUUCAGGUCGGUUUCCACGGGGAGCACGGGUACCCGAUCGGAUAAUGGUUCCAUGGUAACAUCACAAUGCACCCCUUUCAUUACACACUGGGUAGACAUGCGGAGUGUUACAUGAAUUUGUCCACAUGCACUGUACAUGAUAUCAUCUGCGACUUCGGGUUUUCGGGUACUAUUC